rnacentral:rRNA from 1 species
AUACGUAGGGAGCGAGCGUUGUCCGGAAUUACUGGGCGUAAAGGGCGCGUAGGCGGCGCUUCAAGUCGUCUGUCAAAUGGGAGGGCUUAACCCUUUUUCGCAGACGAAACUGGAGAGCUUGAGAAGCAGAGAGGCAAACAGAAUUCCUGGUGUAGCGGUGAAAUGCGUAGAUAUCAGGAAGAAUACCAGUGGCGAAGGCGGUUUGCUGGCUGCAUACUGACGCUGAAGCGCGAAAGCCAGGGGAGCAAACGGGAUUAGAUACCCCGGUAGUCCUGGCAGUAAACGAUGUAUGCUGGGUGUGGGAGUAGCGAUACCUCCGUGCCGAAGUUAACGCGAUAAGCAUACCGCCUGGGGAGUACGGUCGCAAGAUUGAAACUUAAAGGAAUUGACGGGG